rnacentral:rRNA from 1 species
GAUGAACGCUAGCGGCAGGCCUAACACAUGCAAGUCGAGGGGUAACUAGAGUGAUAGCAAUAUUACUUUGGCUAGACCGGCGCACGGGUGCGUAACACGUAUGCAACCUACCUUAUACUGGGGAAUAACUUCGAGAAAUCGGCGCUAAUACCCCAUAACACUGCGGAGAGGCAUCUCUUUGCAGUCAAAGCUCCGGCGGUAUAAGAUGGGCAUGCGUCCAAUUAGCUAGUUGGUGAGGUAACGGCUCACCAAGGCUACGAUUGGUAGGGGUUCUGAGAGGAUGAACCCCCACACUGGUACUGAGACACGGACCAGACUCCUACGGGAGGCAGCAGUGAGGAAUAUUGCGCAAUGGACGAAAGUCUGACGCAGCCAUGCCGCGUGCAGGAUGACGGCCCUAUGGGUUGUAAACUGCUUUUGUACGGGAAUAAACCCUUCUACGUGUAGGAGGCUGAAGGUACCGUAAGAAUAAGCACCGGCUAACUCCGUGCCAGCCGCCGCCGUAA